GCUGAACGCUGGCGGCAGGCUUAACACAUGCAAGUCGAGCGGGGUGAUGGUGCUUGCACUAUCACUUAGCGGCGGACGGGUGAGUAAUGCUUAGGAAUCUGCCUAUUAGUGGGGGACAACAUCUCGAAAGGGAUGCUAAUACCGCAUACGUCCUACGGGAGAAAGCAGGGGAUCACUUGUGACCUUGCGCUAAUAGAUGAGCCUAAGUCGGAUUAGCUAGUUGGUGGGGUAAAGGCCUACCGAGGCGACGAUCUGUAGCGGGUCUGAGAGGACGAGCCGCCACACUGGGACGACGACACGGCCCAGCCUCCUACGGGAGGCAGCAGUAGGGAAUGUUGGAGAAUGGGGGGAACCCUGAUCCAGCCAUGCCGCGUGUGUGAAGAACGCCUUAUGGUUGUAAAGCACUUUAAGCGAGGAGGAGGCUUACCUAGUUAAUACCUGGGAUAAGUGGACGUUACUCGCAGAAUGAGCACCGGCUAACUCUGUGCCAGCCGCCGCAGUAA
rnacentral:rRNA from 1 species